AUAAGUAGGAGAGGAGAGGAAAAUAUUAGUUUCGUUUAAAAAUAGAAAUUCAAAUUAUUAGUUUGCUAAAUUGAAUGCCAGCGGAAACUAGCUCACGUAGUAGUAGAGAAGAAUGAGGUCCACUAUAGAGUGGGUUACUUUAGUUAUAGUAGCAGUAUUUGACAGGGUUUAUUUUCGGCCCCUGGAUAUUUUUAAUGCCACAGGGAUAGAUAAAUCUAUUGCAUCCCCAGUUCAUCGCAACACCUCAGCGAGCAGUAGAAAUUUCAGAAAAGACGCCGGGAGUAUUACUCUAUUGGCCACACAAGCCGUCUACCCCUCUCCCUUCUGCUUUAAAGGGCCUCAAACUCCAGAAGGAGAUGUAAUGAUGCCACCUUUGUGAAGUUCAAGAAAGGACACAGGUCGCCUGACCAGAUUCCUUGCAUAUGUAAGUGCGUCAAAAUGCUUCUUCUGAUAAAAGUUUGUCACAGCUCAUCCAAAAGACAUACUGCUCUUGCCCUGAAAUUAAAUCAGAAAAUGACCUUCAAGCAGAGGGCGAGGCAAGCCUUACACUCUAUAGGUACGGUGACCAUCCGUACUAUAUUUGAAAGGGCAAUCCUUUUUCCUAAAAGUCUAUUUUGUCCUUUAUUUCAAAACGUUUCCUUUGAAAGUACUUUCCUAGAUGCGAAGUCAGAAAUUAAGGCAUAUCUUAUAUUAUGGCCUAGUAUUUAGAUACAAAUUGUGAAGAAAUAGCUAGGAUUCUUAAUCCGCUGGGAAUCCUUUAUGAAGUGCUUCAGACUACGUUGUCGUAUUUAGGACUAGGUAGGACAGUAGCAGAGAAAAUGCUCGAUGCUGUUUACCAUCUUUUACUGCAACUGCGGUAGAAAUCAUUAGAGGGAGACCUUUACACCUUCGUGUAUUUCCAUUGAACAAUGUCCGCUGAAGAAACCAAACUCUGAACUAAUGGACAGACGAUCAAGCAGAACUAGAGACUCAGGUAUGUUUACAUUAGUUUGUGGCACACCGGUGGUUGUCUUCUCUAAUAAAAACAGAUCUAGGACAUAUGUAUGUCUGUAGUUCGUUUGCAGAUGGUUUUCUUGAUGGCAUUUGGCGCAGAAUUGAACGACUUCAAAUAAUUUUCUUAGCCCGGCAACCCAGACUACAUUAUUUACGCAUCGCGUGGCCGCUUAGAACCAUUCGUCCUUGAAUUGCUACCUUCGAAGAGGUAUUGUUGUACUGUAGAUAUUAAAUCGAAGCCUUCAGAGUAUACGUUGAUGGAGUAUUCUACUAAAGGACAGCAGCAGCUUAGUACUAGUUAUUCUGAAUGGUUGUUGUUGCCGACUUUAUUAUUUAGCUCAGAAUCAUCGCUGAAAAUUUAAAUGGAUCUAGUGUCUAGCUUUUUUCACUUCACCAUUCGCUCAUAACGCAGAUUCUUGUCGAAAAACUUGUUAUCAAAGUAGGUAGGUAAAAUGCUUGUUUGCCUAGUGUCAUUUACGCAAGACUGGGGUAUGUGGUAAGAAGGACCGAGAGAGCGUUAGGAGCUUUGUAGUGGUUAGAGUGAACGGCCACCGUGAUAAGCACUCUUUUUAUUUGGCAUUUAGACGUAUUUUUGGUCAGCAUUCUUCACCAUACUGUAACUCCGAAGUCAAGAAUGCGCCUUACGUCAACUGUGACAGCUGGUGCAUUUUUUUUCAGCGGGAAAACCGGUAUUCGGAAUGUAUUGACCCUUUUACAUAGAUAGAAAAAUCCCGAUCUUAACCACGACACAAAGAGCGUCGGAAUGGGUUUCCAGAAAGUUCGACAGCUUACGGAAGGUUUUAAGACCGGGUAGAAGUCUUACGAGAACAAGAACGAAGCAAUAGGGACUGAUUUCCAGAUCUGGCCACACCAAUCGAUGAUGGCCAUUGUGAAAUACGAAAAGAACAGUGCGGCUCAAUAUAACAAAGCAACCGAAGACAAAGGUCUGCCACUU